UACGUAGGCAGCGAGCGUUGUUCGGAGUUACUGGGCGUAAAGGGUGUGUAGGCGGUUUUCUAAGUUUGGUGUGAAAUCUCCCGGCUUAACCGGGAGGGUGCGCCGAAAACUGGGAGACUAGAGUGCGGGAUGGGAGAGUAGAAUUCCUGGUGUAGCGGUGAAAUGCGUAGAUAUCAGGAGGAAUACCGGUGGUGAAGACGGCUCUCUGGACCGCAACUGACGCUGAGACACGAAAGCGUGGGUAGCAAACAGG
rnacentral:rRNA from 1 species